rnacentral:lncRNA from 1 species
CCCGGGGCUCGGGCGCCUAGGCAAGGAACCCCCGAGCCGGGAGAGCCCCUCGGCGCUGCCCUUGCCAGGACGCCAGUAGAGCUGGCAGCGGAGUCUGCCGCUCCCGCCCUCAGAGCCGCGGCGGCGGGAGCAGAAAGCCGCGGCGGCAAAAAGCGGCGGCGGGGGCAAAAAGCCGCGGCGGCAGGGGGCAAAAUGCCGCGGGAGCAAAAAGCCGCGGCGGCGGGGGCAGAAAGUCGCGGCGGCGGGGGGCAAAAAGCCGCGGCGGCGGGGGGCAAAAAGCCGUGGCAGCAGAAAGCCGCGGCGGCGGGCGCAAAAAGCCGCGGCGUCGGGGGCUAAAAGCCGCAAAAAGCCGCGGAGGGGGGAGCGAAAAGCAGUGGGAGCUGGGGCAAAAAACCACAAAAAGCCGAGGCAGCGGCGGCAGAAAACCUCGGCAGCGGGGGCAAAAAGCUGCAGCGGCAAAAAGCGGCGACGGGGGCAAAAAGCCGCGGUGGCAAAAAUGCGCGGCGGCGGGGGAAAAAGCCGCGGCGGAGUGGGGCGAAAAGCAGUGGGAGCUGGGGCAAAAAAACCACAAAAAGCCGCGGCAGCGGCGGCAGAAAACCUCGGCAGCGGGGGCAAAAAGCCACGGUGGCGGGGGUAAAAAGCAGCGGUGGCAAGAAGCCGCGACGGUGGGGGCAAGAAGCCGCGGCGGCCCAGGCAAAAGGCCGCAAAAGCCGCGGCGACGGGGGCGAAAAGCCGCGGCGGCGGAGGCAAAAAGCUGCAAAAGCCGCG